rnacentral:rRNA from 1 species
CCGGAGAGGGGAGUGAAAUAGAACCUGAAACCGUAUGCGUACAAGCAGUGGGAGCCCUUCGGGGUGACUGCGUACCUUUUGUAUAAUGGGUCAGCGACUUACUUCUCAGUUGCAAGGUUAACUUUUAAGGGAGCCGUAGGGAAACCGAGUCUUAAAUGGGCGAUUAGUAGCUGGGAGUAGACCCGAAACCGGGUGAUCUAUCCAUGGCCAGGGUGAAGGUUAGGUAAAACUAACUGGAGGCCCGAACCCACUUAUGUUGAAAAAUGAGGGGAUGAGCUGUGGAUAGGAGUGAAAGGCUAAUCAAACCCGGAGAUAGCUGGUUCUCUUCGAAAACUAUUUAGGUAGUGCCUCGUGUAUUACCAUAGGGGGUAGAGCACUGUUUCGGCUAGGGGGUCAUCCCGACUUACCAAACCGAUGCAAACUCCGAAUACCUACGAGUAUGAGCACGGGAGACAGACUGCGGGUGCUAACGUCCGUAGUCGAGAGGGAAACAACCCAGACUGUCAGCUAAGGUCCCUAAUUAUGGUUAAGUGGGAAACAAUGUGGGAAGGCACAAACAGCUAGGAGGUUGGCUUAGAAGCAGCCAUCCUUUAAAGAAAGCGUAAUAGCUCACUAGUCGAGUCGGCCUGCGCGGAAGAUGUAACGGGGCUAAAUUGGUAACCGAAGCUGCGGAUGCAUGCUUGCAUGCAUGGUAGAGGAGCGUUCUGUAAGCCGUUGAAGGUGAACCGAGAGGUUUGCUGGAGGUAUCAGAAGUGCGAAUGCUGACAUGAGUAACGAUAAAGGGGGUGAAAAACCCCCUCGCUGAAAGACCAAGGGUUCCUGUCCAACGUUAAUCGGGGCAGGGUGAGUCGACCCCUAAGGCGAGGGCGAAAGCCGUAGUCGAUGGGAAACAGGUUAAUAUUCCUGUGCUUUUUACAACUGCGAUGGGGUGACGGAGAAGGUUAGGCUAGCACGGCGACGGUUGUCCGUGUUUAAGGUUGUAGGCUGGUGUUCUAGGUAAAUCCGGAACACUAAGGCUGAGAACUGAUGACGACCACUCUAUGAGUGGGAAGUAGUCGAUACCAUGCUUCCAGGAAAAACCUCUAAGCUUCAGGUUGUAAGAAACCGUACCCUAAACCGACACAGGUGGUUAGGUCGAGUAGACCAAGGUGUUUGAGAGAACUAUGGUGAAGGAACUAGGCAAAAUAGCACCGUAACUUCGGGAGAAGGUGCGCCGCGGUUAGUGAUGAGACUUGCUCUCUAAGCUGAACGUGGUCGAAGAUACCAGGUGGCUGCGACUGUUUACUAAAAACAUAGCACUCUGCAAACUCGUAAGAGGAAGUAUAGGGUGUGACGCCUGCCCGGUGCCGGAAGGUUAAUUGAUGGGGUUAGCUUAUGCGAAGCUCUUGAUCGAAGCCCCGGUAAACGGCGGCCGUAACUAUAACGGUCCUAAGGUAGCGAAAUUCCUUGUCGGGUAAGUUCCGACCUGCACGAAUGGCGUAACGAUGGCCACACUGUCUCCACC